rnacentral:tRNA from 1 species
CGAUCGUGUAGUCGAAGGGGCCACCCGGCGCCUGCGGUGCGUCGACACGCAGCCGGGUGUACCGGCCGUUCGUGAGCGCC